GACGAACGCUGGCGGCGUGCUUAACACAUGCAAGUCGAACGGAAAGGCCCUGCUUUUGUGGGGUGCUCGAGUGGCGAACGGGUGAGUAACACGUGAGUAACCUGCCCUUGACCUUGGGAUAACUUCAGGAAACUGGGGCUAAUACCGGAUAGGAGCUCCUGCUGCAUGGUGGGGGUUGGAAAGUUUCGGCGGUUGGGGAUGGACUCGCGGCUUAUCAGCUUGUUGGUGGGGUAGUGGCUUACCAAGGCUUUGACGGGUAGCCGGCCUGAGAGGGUGACCGGCCACAUGGGGACUGAGAUACGGCCCAGACUCCUACGGGAGGCAGCAGUGGGGAAUAUUGCACAAUGGGCGGAAGCCUGAUGCAGCAACGCCGCGUGCGGGAUGACGGCCUUCGGGUUGCAAACCGCUUUCGCCUGUGACGAAGCGUGAGUGACGGUAAUGGGUAAAGAAGCACCGGCUAACUACGUG
rnacentral:rRNA from 1 species